CCGACCCCGUGGUGGCCGCCUGUAUCCUCGCUCGCUGCCCGCCAUUGGCUUCGUGUGGCCCCGCCGCGCCGGGCCCGCCCUGGAUUCCGAAAAUCUCCUUGGAAUAUCUGAAGUCCAUAUGGCUAUGUAUGAUGAAGAUAUCUUGAAAAAUCCCUUUUAUUUGGCCAUUCAGAAGCGUCGUCCUGAUCUAUGCAGCAAAGUGGCAGAACUCCAUGGUAUUGUGUUAGUUCCAUGCAAAGGAAGCCUUUCAAGCAACAGUCUUUCUGCCUGCCAGUUUGAAUCUUAUGUUUUGAAGCCGUUAGAAGAAAACUUUCAGACCUUAAAUGGAAAGGAGAUCUUCAUACAAGGAAAUCUCAUCAUUUUAGGAACUGGUUUUAAUUGUCAUCUCUCAGUACCUGUUCUUUUUGAGGAAACAUUUUACAACGAAAAAGAAGAAAGCUUUAGUAUAUUGUGCAUAGCUCAUCCAUUGGAAAAAACAGGAAGCUCAAGUGAAUCUACAGCUUCAUCAAACUCCUAUUCUCUGAAAAAUAUUGAAGAUGUUAGAGAAUUCUUGGGAAGGCACUGUGAGAGAUUUGAUAAAUACAUAGGAACUUUCUAUAGAACAUUUAAAGAACACGAAAGGAAAAGCCUCCGCCACUACAUAGAUUCUGUCAAUGCACUUUAUACCAAAUGUCUCCAGCAUCUUUUGAGAGAUUCGCACUUGAAGAUGCUUGCAAAGCAAGAAGAGCAGAUGAAUCUGAUAAAACAAGCAGUUGAAAUGUAUAUCCAUCAUGCUCUUUAUGAUCUAGUCUUUAAAUAUAUGGGGACUAUUGAAGCGAGUGAGGAUGCUGCUUUUAACAAAAUUACGAGGAGCCUUCAAGACCUGCAGCAAAAAGACAUUGGAGUGAAGCCUGAGUUCAGUUUUAAUAUACCACGUGCAAAGCGAGAACUGGGUCAGUUGAACAAAUGUACUUCCCCUCAACAGAAGCUACUUUGUCUACGAAAAGUGGUACAAAUUAUUAUGCAAUCUCCUAGCCAAAGAGUUAACAUGGAAACCAUGUGUGCAGAUGAUCUACUCUCCGUUUUGCUCUAUUUACUUGUAAAAACAGAAAUCCCAAACUGGAUGGCCAACUUGAGUUACAUAAAGAACUUCAGGCUUUGCAGUUCAGUGAAGGAUGAAUUGGGAUACUGUCUAACCUCAAUUGAGGCUGCAAUAGAAUACAUACGACAAGGCAAUCUCUCUGACAGAUCAACAGAAUGUGAGAGACUGUGUGACAAGCUGCUUUUAAGACAAAGGAUGAACUUCUUGUCCCAGAUGUCUGCUACUCCAAUAGACUGCUUGUUUAAGCAUAUUGCUUCAGGUAAUCAGGAGGAAGUGGAGCGAUUGCUAAGUCAAGGUGACAGUGAUAAGGAUACUGUACAGAAAAUGUGUCAUCCACUCUGUUACUGUGACAAAUGUGAGAAGCUAGUUUCUGGGAAACUGAAUGAUCCUUCCAUUGUCACUCCAUUUUCCCGAGAUGACCGGGGAUAUACACCACUUCAUAUAGCUGCUAUUUGUGGGCAAACAUCAUUAGUGGAUUUACUAGUAGCCAAAGGAGCCAUUGUCAAUGCUACAGAUUACCACGGUUCAACUCCACUUCACCUUGCCUGUCAGAAGGGAUAUCAAAACGUUACACUUCUCUUAUUGCACUAUAAAGCAAGUACUGAUGUUCAGGACAAUAAUGGAAACACUCCACUUCAUUUAGCCUGCACUUAUGGUCAGGAGGAUUGCGUCAAAGCUUUAGUCUACUAUGAUGUGCAUUCCUGUAGACUAGAUAUUGGUAAUGAAAAGGGAGAUACUCCUCUCCAUAUAGCUGCUCGUUGGGGCUAUCAAGGGAUCAUAGAAGUGCUUUUGCAAAAUGGGGCAAAUCCAGAAAUUCAAAACCGGAUGAAAGAGACUUCCCUACAGUGUGCAUUAAAUUCCAAGAUUUUGUCAUUGAUGGAAUUAAACUAUCUAACGUUUGAAAGAGGACAGAGUGCUUCUGAGUCACCACUUAGGUCUCCUCAGCGCUCAACAGAAACUUUCAGCAGAGGAUCAUCUGUCUCAAGCCUGUCAUCAGCAUCAACUGAUGUAAGGCAAGAAGAAGUGAAAAAUAGUUAUAAAGAGGUGGAAAAACUUCUAAGAGCAGUUGCUGACGGAGAUCUGGAAAUGGUACGUUAUCUCUUGGAAUGGAUGGAAGAAGACUUGGAAGAUGAGGAUGACACAGCCAGUACAUCAAAGCCAGAAUUCUGCCAUCCAUUAUGCCAGUGCUCAAAAUGUGGGCCAGCACAAAAGAAAUUUGCAAGGAUCUCUGCUAAUGGACUUGGAGUAAAUGUUUCAAACCAAGAUGGUUUUACACCACUGCACAUGGCUGCACUGCAUGGACACUCUGAACUUGUCUCUCUCUUGUUGCAACAUGGAGCCAGUAUCAGUGCCAAGAAUGCAAAACUUGCAGUUCCUCUUCAUCUAGCCUGCCAGAAAGGUCACUUCCAGGUGGUAAAGUGUCUGAUGGAUUACAAUGCUAAACAAAAUAAAAAGGAUAUAUAUGGAAAUACUCCUUUAAUUUAUGCAUGCUUGAAUGGUCAGUAUGAGACUACUGCCUUGUUGUUACAGCAUGGAGCUUCUGUUAACCUUUCCAAUGCCAAAGGAAAUACAGCACUGCAUGAGGCCGUGAUAGGAAAGAAUGAAUCCCUGGUAGACUUGCUACUUCAGAACGGUGCAAUGACGCACAUAAGGAACGAAAGGAACUGUACCCCUGCGGACUGUGCGGAGCCGAAUUCAAAUAUCAUUAAGUUGCUGGAAACAGCACCAAGCUAUGUACCUACAUCAGCAGAGAGAGAAAAGGAGUGUGAGCAGCAUGCUACUAUCAAGAUAAGAAAAAAAGUGAAUUCUAAGCCAUGUGAGAAAGCUGAUGAUCCCAUAAGCAGACAACUUCAACUGGUCCAAUCAAUUAACAGAUUUAACAAAGCAAAACAUUUACGAAGAACAAUAACAAGAGAUAAAAGUGUCCCUAAUUUUGACUAUCAGUUACUGCAUCAGUUAGCUAUUAAAAGCUUUGAUAAAACCAAAUUAAAAUCUGUUGAAACACUGGACCAGACUAAAGUUAAGAUUAGUGACACAGGACGCAGUGGUGAAGUUGUGAACCAUGAUGACAUGAUAGAAGUUCCUCACAAGAGUAAAUUAAUGCACCGAAGACACACUGUUAAUGUGCCGCUUUCAGCAGAGAAUGUUAGUGAUAAUAGUUUAUCCAGCCCUACAGAUCCAAGUAUUUCACAAUCAAGAGACUGCUGCGAUGACUUGCUUUCAAAACAUUGACAAGGAAGUGUGAAUUUGAUGUCAAAAGCUGAGGAACUAGAUGGUGUUAAUUUCUAUAACCCUUCACCGUAUAUUGAAGAAUUGGGUGACGCUUGCAAGCUUGCCUUCAGAACAGAAUACAAGGAUGGCCCUUCAGCAGAAACAGAAUGUUCCUAGCUCUUUGGAAGACUGAAUCUUCUGCUUGUAUUGGAGGCAUUUGAAGGCUUCACCUUGUGUCUAUGUGCAAAUUGAGGGAUCUGUUGGAAUUUACUCUCGAGUUCAGUAUGACCUUCCCUCCUACAUUCAUGGAUUCGUAUUAUUAGGUUGUGGGGUUUUAGAUCUAACGCAUAGAGGUUCUGUACAAUAAAGAAUUGUUACUGAAACAAUGUUUUCAUGUAACUUCCUUCUCUAGCUCUAUAUUCCCAUUUAAAAAAAAUGAUAAUAAAAAAAGUAGGAUGGAUGUCCAGCUAUUACAAGUGAAAAGACCAAGAAGAAAGAGAUAGGAACUAGGUUUUUUUCAUCUUGUGACACUAUAAAGAUGACCUAGAGUAAGUCACUUAUCCUUACCUGCAGCAAAAAUAACCUAGAGAUUACUUAUAGUUUAAGAUACAAGUAAACUUUCAUGGAUCUGAUUCCCACACUACAUAGUGAGAAUUUUGUUUGUGUUUUAAUUAUAUUGUGCAUUUAACUAAAUGAUUCUUGUCUUAAGACUGCCUGACAACAUGGAUGAGAAAAAUCAGUUUAUUAGCUUAUUAAUACUGGUGACACUAUGCUACAGAGCGUAAGUACAGAAUGUGCUGCUGUAACUACAGACCAUGAGUUAGCACAAUGAUACUAAGUUCAUUAUCAAGUUUUUUUAUUAAUUCUUAAUAAUAAGCAUAGUGUGGUUGAAGAGUUUUUGAAACAAGUUUUAAGAUAGCUUACUAAAUACCUUUGAAAGGUUAAAGAUAAGUAUCAGAGGAUGUGAGCUUUGAAUUUAGAUACUUUUUUUUCUAUUAAAAACAAAUUUUGAAUACAAGGAACACAAUUUGUUUGAUACUGUUAUAUUUUAAGCAUAAAGUAUUGUGUUGUAUUUUAUGCAAGCCAUGACACAGCUGUAACACUCCCAAGUUUCAGCCUUGAUAUGAAUGGUUAUAUAAUUAUUGGUUAAUUUAACUCUUAAAAGUUAAGAAUUGGCCAGGUGUUGAAGUAGCACUUGCCUGUGAAAAACUUGCCCCCCAAGUAGAAUACAAAAUUUUCAAGAAAAAACCCCCAUGUAGUAGCUUACAAAGGUGACUUAAUGCAGACUUUGUGCCUAUUGCCUAAUGUAUUUUUUUAACAAAAAUCUGUACUCUAAGACAUCUAACAGAAUAUUUUUUUCUUUAGUUUUAUAGAAAAAAGUACAAAUUUAUUAGAAUUAACCUGAGUUUUAUAUUAUGUUACAGUAUCAGAGCAGUUGUCCUUGUAAACCUGAGGCUGCUUAACUGAUCAAGGCGUGCUUCAGUUUUAUUCAGCAUUCAGUGUAGGAUAAAGCUUAUUUCCAGGCCCUUUGGAUAUAUGGCAGAUGUAUAAAAACAAAACACAACCACCCCUUAAAUGCCAAACAGUUCCACUAUAACCUAAAUGAUGGAAAGAUGACAACUAACAAAUUAUUUAGGUAAAUGAAAUAGUUUGCAAGUUUCCUUUGACAGGCUUAACCAAACCUGUAAUUAAAAAGGUAUCUUAGUAUUCAAAGAUACAAAGAUCAAAGGCUAAACUGCAAUAGAAUUUGGAGUAGCCCUGGAAGCUUCCCCUAGCAAUCUAGUGCAAAUAUACUGAAGUCAACUUCGUAACACUUAUGAUUUGUCUGCAACUCAUGUUGCUGUAUAGUCCAGCUAAAUACAAACCCUUACUCGACGUUUUGACAACUGAGAUUCUGUAACAGCCAUUCUGGAAAAACAGCAAAGCAAUAAAGCUUAUGUUGUUAUAAGUAGAAUUUGGUAAAUUUAGGAAGGGGAAAGUGAAGCAUGGAUGCUUAGUAUGUAUCUGUAGUCCUAAUGGGAAAACUAAACCAUCUAUGAUCACCCCACCUUGGCUUGAAACUCUUCACACUCCUAAAGGGUCAUUAGUCUAAAGAAAUUUAGUGUAUACUCACAAUAUUACUGAAGUUAAAGAAUCCUAAUUACAAACACUGGCAAGCAAAAGGCCCAGUCUAGUCCAAAUGAAACAAAAAUAACUGUUUAAAUACUUUUUAACCACAUUUACACAAGAUGAAACACACCCACUAGUGCUCACUUGAAACAAUUUUAUUCUGUUCCAAAAAACACUGUAGUUGGGAUCACACAUGUUCCUGUCAAAUUAUGUCAGAAAACAGUUUUGUGGUGGAAGAGUGUUUAUCAGCACAUUACAGUAUUUAUCCUACUUAGUUCCAUAACCAUAUUUUUGAAUAAAUGUAUAGCACAAGUUCAGUUUUACUUUAUGCAUGCAGGAGUUGCAGAAAGUUUAGGAAAACAGUAUUUUUUUUUCAAGGUAAGAAACACUCCAACCAUUUGAUAAAAAUGGAGGUAGUUCUAAGAAUAAACAAUAUCAAGUGUCUGAACGGUGCUCUAUUACACAGUUAACUUGCUUUUUUUGAGAUAGUUUGAUUGUUUCAUAGGGGAGGUUCAAUUGUAUGCUGGUUACAGUUUCUUUACACAGACUGCCUGAUGUGGACUCCUCUGAUCCAAACACUACUUUGAUGCCUUCACUUUGUUUUAUUCCAACAAGGACUUGACAGCCAGUGAGCUGCUGGAUAGGCUUCUUUCAGCAGCUUAGGAAAUCUCAUUUCUGACACUUCUGUGAUUUAGAGCCCAGAGAAAAGUCUUUAAACUCUAGAGAGUGGCUGUUCCCAGCUUGACACUGCUCCUCCUCAUGUUAUGGUAUCUCCAAUAGCAGCAAGUUAAGUGUGUGCAGUUGCUGAAAGCAAAGCUUACACACUGAGUAAGGGGCAACAAAAUGUUCAUGCUAAUGAAGCACUGGGGAACCCCACACUGCUUGGGCCUCUUAUACUACAAAAGUGUAAGUUAUAAAAUCCCCUUCUCAGAUUUAUUUUACAAGACAAGUUCAUUUGUUGGCCUUUUUAUUAAAAAAAAACAAAAAAAAAACAAAAAAACCCCAAAGA